rnacentral:rRNA from 1 species
AGUAAUGCUUGGGAAUCUGGCUUAUGGAGGGGGAUAACGACGGGAAACUGUCGCUAAUACUGCGUAUUAUCGGAAGAUGAAAGUGCGGGACUGAGAGGCCGCAUGCCAUAGGAUGAGCCCAAGUGGGAUUAGGUAGUUGGUGGGGUAAAGGCCUACCAAGCCUGCGACCUCUAGCUGGUCUGAGAGGAUGACCAGCCACACUGGAACUGAGACACGGUCCAG